rnacentral:ncRNA from 1 species
GAGAGCUGUAUGACGGGAGACUGUCACAUACAGUGCCGUGGGAGCGCGGGCGUGAGAUUCACCCGGGCGACCCGAAU